rnacentral:rRNA from 1 species
CCCUUAGAUGUUCUGGGCCGCACGCGUGCUACACUGAGUGGAUCAGCGGGUCAGGUUGCGCGAAAGUGUUUCCUAAUCUUUAAAUCCGCUCGUGAUGGGGAUUGACGGUUGCAAUUUUCCGUCAUGAACGAGGAAUACCUUGUAAGCGCGGGUCAUCAUCCCGCGCUGAAUACGUCCCUGCCCUUUGUACACACCGCCCGUCGCUCCUACCGAUUGAGUGGUCCGGUGAGGCUUUGGGAUCUGAGCGGAAAGAGCGUUUCGCUGUUUCUGCCCGGAAAACUCAGUCGAACCUUACCAUUUAGAGGAAGGAGAAGUCGUAACA